GUGAGUUUGUGUGUGUGUGUGUGAGUGGAGGUUUGGCUGCAGCCAGGGUCACUGCUGAGUUCUCCAAGUGCUGUCUGACAGAGAACUUGCUGAGCCUGAGCGUAUUCCAGCAGCAGGUCAGCCUACAUAUUAUUCGCUCUGUAUUUCAUGCUUCUUUACGCUCUCGUGACCCGGAUGAAUUUAACAGGGAACUGAGCAGUGUGUUCAGUUUUCCUGUGUGUGCAUCUUACGCUUCUGCCCAUCUUAGCCCAGUUCCUGCACUGUUAGGCUGUCUGUAAUUACAAAUCAAAUCAGAAAACCUGCCUUCUCAAAUCCUGUCUCGUUUAAUGAAUGUGUUUUUUUUUCUUCAGAUUUUCUUUUUAUCCUUGUUUUUUGAUGUUUGCUUACAUAUUUAUGGCAUGCAAUUUGCGUGCUGCAGUAAAUACAGGAUUACUAAUUGUAACAGAAUUUCAUUAUGUUUUUCACUAUGGUAUCUGAAUACUUUUUAACCGCUAUAUAAAUGUGUCUUUGUGAUAUUGCACAGAGGUUUUCCUCUCAUUCGUUGAUGCAAAGCAAGGAAAUUUAUGGCAAAGCUAUCAAAAUUCUUUACUGUAUCUUUAUAUUCCACAGUGUCAAUAAACAACUUUUCAACGUGUCCCAGCAAACUAAUUAUAAAUAACUUCAUUAGUCAUCCACCAGGUUGCAGAUGAGAGUUUCAAGUGCACUGCUGGUAUUGGUUUUCCCCGGUUGUUGGACUUCCACAAUGUGGGUCUCGAGGAGCCUCCCUUGGUCACCAAGCCUUAUGCCAGGUGUCUACAGGCAAUCAGAUCUCAUUUUGUCCAUAAGGACGACGAACUCCAGCAUAAAACUGAACGUCUUGAGCUCAGGAUUCGGUUUUACAGAGAACGAACAUUUCUGACCAGUGCCUUUGUUUUACUGAAGGCCUUUUAGAGGUCCCCGGUGGAGACGCGAUUUUAUUCCAUAUUCCAGAGGAAAGUAAGGAGGAUGAAAAUCGUGGCCAGGUGGGGAACCCCCCCGGCCCCGCAGGUUGCUCAGACUCAACUCUCUCUCCUGCUCAACUUGCUGUGAACAAAAGGCUCCGUUCCAGAUCCAGCCCGCAGUUGCCGUGAGAAACUUCUCUGCGAGCGCUGGCUGUCGCGCUGCCUCCCUCGCCUGCUCGCUGCCUCCCUGCCUCGGUAAAAUGGCAGUGCAAGAGCUUCAUGAAAAGGGUGAAAACCCUCCUUUCUCGGCCCCUGGCUCUCCAGCAGCACUCCCCCUGCCCUAUUCGUGACUCCUGAACUCCAACUUGGCUAAAAAUACACUUUCAGAGGGCAGAAUUGCACGGGAGUGAUUUUUUUUUUU